rnacentral:rRNA from 1 species
GUCGGUAAAACUCGUGCCAGCCACCGCGGUUAUACGAAAGGCCCAAGUUGAUAGUUCUCGGCGUAAAGAGUGGUUAAGUUAACCUAACAUACUAAAGCCGAAUGCCCCCAAAACUGUAAUACGUUCUCGGAGAGACGAAGCCCAACUACGAAAGUGGCUUUAAAAACCUGACCCCACGAAAGCUGCGAAACAAACUGGGAUUAGAUACCCCACUAUG